rnacentral:rRNA from 1 species
UGGGGAAUAUUGGGCAAUGGGCGCAAGCCUGACCCAGCAACGCCGCGUGAAGGAAGAAGGCUUUCGGGUUGUAAACUUCUUUGUCAGGGACGAGAAGAAGACGGUACCUGACGAAUAAGCCACGGCUAACUACGUGCCAGCAGCCGCGGUAAUACGUAGGUGGCAAGCGUUGUCCGGAUUUACUGGGUGUAAAGGGCGAGUAGGCGGACCUGCAAGUCAGAUGUGAAAUCCCCGGGCUUAACCCGGGAACUGCAUUUGAAACUGUAGGCCUUGAGUGAUGGAGAGGCAGGCGGAAUUCCCGGUGUAGCGGUGGAAUGCGUAGAUAUCGGGAGGAACACCAGUGGCGAAGGCGGCCUGCUGGACAUUAACUGACGCUGAGGAGCGAAAGCGUGGGGAG